CCCCCAACCCCCUCCUCACAUGACCCAAAAUGGAUUCCAACACCAAUUAGAAGCACCCUGGGUCUCUGCCAAUAUACUGCUCCAAGAUAUUGGACUCCUGCUUACUUAGAGCCUACUCUGUGAAAACCUUCCUCAUGAAGAGUCAGUCCCCAUGCAUGUUCACAGAUUCUAUUGCUAUGAACUCUAACAAGUGUAGUAAAUCCAGUCGUUGAACAAUUAGAAGGGAAAAAGGUGCUUAUGGACAUUGGAAAGCAGCCUGACAGCAGAGACUUCAGCUGUCAGCUCAGUAGGGUACUCUACAGAGAAAAAGUACAGAAAACUACUGUAAAUGUAUCAUUCUUGUACAAAAAGAGAACUUAGGGAGCUGUGAACUAUCAUCCUUCUAUGUACCCUAUCUACAAUGAACAAUGAAUUUACUGCAACACUAGAUUUCAACCAGCCAAGGGAAGAGAGUGGUGUUCAGGCAAAAUUCACCACUGGAGAGAAACUGUCUUAUAUAAAAAAUGAACGGCAAGGAGAAGAGAAUGAAUAGCUUUCUUUUAUUGACUGUGAGAGCUUCCCCAUUCACCAGGAAAGGACAGUACAUGGAGAAUUCUCGUAAAGCGGAUGAUUACUGCUAUAGAAUGUGCUGAGACACGUACGUGAAAAAUUAGGUGUCUAAUCUUUGUAAAAAUAACGAUAUACAGCAAAUAACUAGGAUAGAGAAAACCUUUCACAUCAUCAAUAGACCUUAAUGGUUUGUGAAGUAAAUGUGAAUGUA